rnacentral:rRNA from 1 species
AUACGAAGGGGGCUAGCGUUGUUCGGAAUCACUGGGCGUAAAGCGCAUGCAGGCGGAUCGUUUAGUCGGGGGUGAAAUCCCGAGGCUCAACCUCGGAACUGCCUCCGAUACUGGCGAUCUUGAGUCCGGGAGAGGUGAGUGGAACUGCGAGUGUAGAGGUGUAAUUCGUAGAUAUUCGCAAGAACACCAGUGGCGAAGGCGGCUCACUGGCCCGGUACUGACGCUCAGGUGCGAAAGAGUGGGGAGCAAACAGGAUGAGAUACCCUGGUAGUCCACGCCGUAAACGAUGAAUGCUAGCCGUCGGACAGCAUGCUGUUCGGUGGCGCAGCCAACGCAAUAAGCAUUCCGCCUGGGGAGUACGAUCGCAAGAUUAAA